rnacentral:tRNA from 1 species
GCCCGAUUAGCUCAGUUGGUUAGAGCGUUCCUCUUGUAAAGGAUAAGUCGUCAGUUCGAAUCUGACAUUCGGUUCCA